GACCCAGUGGUGGACGGUACCGCACCCGCACCAGAUAGAAAAAGGUCAAUUUGGCAUGCGGGAGGUCCUGGUUCGAUUCCAGGCUGGGUCA